AGAAAGGUUGAACUUUUACUCAUUGUUGUAAUACUCCACUUUUAUUUGUAUUAACAUUCUCACUCAUUCUAGCUAUAUUAUUACUAUUGGUCUAUCUAGCAAAGUAUUCACUGGUGGAGAGGAAGGGAAUCGUCAGCGUCAUCAUGCACAAAGAUUCAACGGCUGCAGAUAUCUUGAAGUCAUAUAUUCAUGCACUUGUUAUGGCCAACCUUAUGGAUGGAAAAAGAUCUCUACACUUGGAGAGCCAAUAAUGGAUGGAUAAGCAGUAUGAAACUUUUAUUCAAAAGCUAAAGUCAUCUGGUUGGAAAACUUAAAGGCUUCUCUCUCCCUCAAUCAUCUGGAAGGCACACUGGCACUGUGAGUCACUGGAUGAAAAAACUGACUAGGUUUCUUCAGUCUACCUCAUGAGAAUGGUUGAUGGCUGUUCUAUUGGAGUAAAUUGAAGAAAAAUGAAAAUCAUGGAUGAUACCUCAGUUUGAGAUAUCAACAUCACCUUUUCAUCCACUGCUUCAAUGGUGCAAAAAUUUUAACCUGGUUUAAACUGUCAUGUCUGAAGAGAUGGAAUCCAGCAAAGAAAGUCGAGGCUAUGAGUUGGAGACUCAAAAAUCACAUAAUUAUUUUGCUUUAUGUAUUUUAUAUUACCAAAGUUCAACCAUUGAUCAAAAGUCUUGACAUUUUCUCUUAUAAUCUUCAAUCCAUAGCCCCUCUCGUCCAUUGACAAAGCAGAAGCAUAUUUUCCACUGACCCUUCCAUCUGACAUAGCUCAUACAAUGAGCUUCCUGCACACUUUCUUCUCCACAAAUUAUCAAGGCAAAGCAUUUAAGCGGGCUCUCCGUAGGAAGACCUUGCUUUUGUCAGGCACCCUCAAACUCCACCCUCAAACACCCUCAAAACUCCAGAUUUCCUUCCAAGCCUUGCUGUCCAUGGUAUAUAUAAAAAACUUUUCUACAGAAAAGUGGUUUAUUCUAAGAAUAUUGUUUUUUUU